UUGAACGCUGGCGGCAUGCUUUACACAUGCAAGUCGAACGGUAACAGGUUAAGCUGACGAGUGGCGAACGGGUGAGUAAUGCAUCGGAACGUGCCCGAUCGUGGGGGAUAACGCAGCGAAAGCUGCGCUAAUACCGCAUACGUCCUGAGGGAGAAAGCGGGGGAUCGCAAGACCUCGCGCGAUUGGAGCGGCCGAUAUCGGAUUAGCUAGUUGGUGGGGUAAAGGCUCACCAAGGCGACGAUCCGUAGCGGGUCUGAGAGGACGACCCGCCACACUGGAACUGAGACACGGUCCAGACUCCUACGGGAGGCAGCAGUGGGGAAUUUUGGACAAUGGGCGCAAGCCUGAUCCAGCCAUUCCGCGUGAGUGAAGAAGGCCUUCGGGUUGUAAAGCUCCUUCAGCGGGAACGAAACGGUCGAUCCUAAUACGGUCGGCUAAUGACGGUACCUGCAGAAGAAGCACCGGCUAACUACGU
rnacentral:rRNA from 1 species